rnacentral:rRNA from 1 species
AAGCAUUGUUUCUAGAUCUGAGUAUAUCAAUAUUACCUUGUUCAGAACUUAAAGAGAAAUCUUGAGUUUAUGGACUUCAGGGGGAGUAUGGUCACAAGGCUGAAACUUAAAGGAAUUGACGGAAGGGCACACCAGGAGUGGAGCCUGCGGCUUAAUUUGACUCAACACGGGAAAACUUACCAAGACCGAACAGUAGAAGGAAUGACAGAUUAAGAGUUCUUUCAUGAUUUAUUGGGUAGUGGUGCAUGGCCGUUCUUAGUUGGUGGAGUGAUUUGUCAGGUUAAUUCCGGUAACGAACGAGACUGAAACCUAUUAAUUAGUUUUCUGCCUAUAAGACAGAAAUGUUCGCAAGAACAGGUGCGUAAGUACCACUUCUUAAAGGGACACAUUUNCAA